rnacentral:sRNA from 1 species
AUGACUCCAAAACACUAACCAAGCUUCUUUGUG